GAAGAACGCGGAAGUAAACAAAUAAACGUGAACUGGAAAUCUCAACACAGAAGUUUUUGUGUAUACUAACACUUGUAACUAUAAUUGCAAACAGAAGCUAUGUAAAGGUAUCAUCUACUAUCAAGCUGGACUCUACAGACACUCUAUGUCGCAAGGCAGAACAGAUUUCAACAAACGAAUCACAAAAACAAAAAUAGAUGACUCUUUUCCUGAUGCAGAAUUUGAAGUUGAUAGUUACCACAUAUGGCGAGCUGAUAGAAACCAACAUGGAGGAGAUACACCAGAACUGCUGAAAUCCCCAAAGUAAGAACAUCAAGUUACGGCAUCAACUCUUUCCGUUUCGGGGCUGCCAAACUGUGGAACUCUCUCCCCCAACAUUUCAGGGACCAAUUACAUUUCAACCAGUUCUCCAGUUUGGUUAGCUCAUGGGACGGUGAGAGCUGCCGCUGCUCCUAUUGCAUGUAUCAAACAUAGUUGCUAAAUUUUGCUUUUUUGUUGUUGCUUGCAUGCUCUAUGUUUUCAUGCAUACUGUGAUAUAUGCUUGUUCAUGCAACGAAACUGAUUAUUUAAUAUGUUAGUUGCUUAAAAAAAAACUUUUUAUUUGGCUUUUUGUUGCUAGCUCGUUUAAGGUGCUACAUUUUUUAGUUUUUGUUGCUUGCU